UUGGUUAUACCAUAGUUUAAUAAUACAACAUAGUUCACCGACUCUUUGUUCUUUUAUUAUAUUUCGUCACGGUUGACUUCAAUCCCACUCGUCAGCCAUAGAUAGGUUUAUGUUUCUAUGCAUUAGCUGUUACCGCGCUGUACGUUAGUUUGGGAUAUUUAAAUAGAAUAUAUUUACUGUAACAAGCAAGUGUAAAAUUAAUCCAGCUGUAUAUGUUGUUGCUGCUUCAUUUAUUUUAUAAAAAAAAACUGGUUUUGGUGAAGAACUAUAAAUAAUAUGAGUAUGCAGAUUUCAAAACAUUGCCUUAAGCAUAUCUUGUGUAAAAGUUUCUGAACAUGUAUUUAAUA